UGAAUUUCUACCAUUUACACUUCCGUUAGUUUAUACAAAUUUGACCGAAAAAUGUUUUCUUAUCUCUACAAAUGCAUUAGCAAAUAAUUGUGGUGCCGAUUUAUAUGGAAUAGCUGGAACAGGUAAAACAGAAACUGUUAAAGAAUUAGGUAGAUAUUUAGGCAAAAGAGUUAUCGUUAUCAAUUGUCAUAAAGAUAUAAACCGAAAAGUGAUUGAAAGAUUAUUAUAUGGAAUAAAUUAUUGUAAAUUUUGGG